rnacentral:lncRNA from 1 species
GAAAAUGGAGGAGUGAGAGAGGGUAUGUCAAGAGGAGACUAAGAGGUUGUUGCAGCAGGUGCGGGUGCGGGUCGAUAAGGAGCAAGAUGAGCGAGAGAGGUUGGAUGGGGUAGAGCAAAAGAAGGCGAAUGUUGAGGAGUAUGAGAGGAUAUCCGUGAAAUGUACCCCUGAUGUGCUUGAGGUAUAAGUAUAAGUUAAAAUAUUCAUGUUGUAUGUUGUUCUUAUUAUUAUUUGCGUUUUAACUUUUGUAUUGUAUUUUUG